UACGUAGGGGGCAAGCGUUGUCCGGAAUCAUUGGGCGUAAAGAGCGCGUAGGCGGCCCUGUAAGUCCGCUGUGAAAGUCAAGGGCUCAACCCUUGAAUGCCGGUGGAUACUGCAGGGCUAGAGUCCGGAAGAGGCGAGUGGAAUUCCUGGUGUAGAGGUGAAAUUCGUAGAUAUCAGGAGGAACACCGGUGGCGAAGGCGGCUUUCUGGACGACAACUGACGCUGAGACGCGAAAGCGUGGGGAGCAAACAGG
rnacentral:rRNA from 1 species